rnacentral:rRNA from 1 species
GAAGAAGGUGGCUAGCGUUGUUCGGAAUUACUGGGCUUAAAGCGCACGUAGGCGGCUUAUCAAGCGUCUUGUGAAAUCCCUCGUCUCAACCGAGGAAUGGCUGGGCGAACUGAUAGGCUUGAGGCAGGUAGGGGCGAGUGGAACUCUUGGUGGAGCGGUGGAAUGCGUAGAUAUCAAGAGGAACGCCAGAGGUGAAGACGGCUCGCUGGGCCUGUCCUGACGCUCAGGUGCGAAAGCCAGGGGAGCAAACGGG